rnacentral:rRNA from 1 species
CCUACGGGGGGCUGCAGUGAGGAAUAUUGGUCAAUGGGCGCGAGCCUGAACCAGCCAAGUAGCGUGAAGGAUGACUGCACUACGGGUUGUAAACUUCUUUUAUAAGGGAAUAAAGAGAGGCACGUGUGCCUGUUUGUAUGUACUUGAUGAAUAAGGAUCGGCUAACUCCGUGCCAGCAGCCGCGGUAAUACGGAGGAUCCGAGCGUUAUCCGGAUUUAUUGGGUUUAAAGGGAGCGUAGAGGGGUUGUUAAGUCAGUUGUUAAAGUUUGGGGCUCAACCGUAGAACUGCAAUUGAGACUGGCAGUCUUGAGUACAGUAGAGGUAGGCGGAAUUCGUGGUGUAGCGGUGAAAUGCAUAGAUAUCGCGAAGAACUCCGAUUGCGAAGGCAGCUUACUAAACUGCCACUGACAUUGAUGCUCGAAAGUGUGGGUAUCAAACAGGAUUAGAUACCCGUGUAGUC